GGCUAGGUGCGGGCGGCCACCCGGCGCGCGUCCGAGCGCUGCUGAGGGCAGCGGAACGCCAGGCUGCGCCUAGGGCCGCCGGCAGGCUGGCGGCCCGGCGGAGGGCGCCCCGCGCCCCCCCGGCAUCCCCCGCCCCAGCGCUGCUAGGAGCCCGGCUUCUCCGGCUUCUGCAGAUCUCAGCCCACCCGGGGCUGCAGUCUCGGCGGCCAGACUCUCCGCGCCGAGAGUGAUCGGAGCGUUCUAGUCACCCCAAAGACGAGAGGCUUUAAACCGAGCCGCGGGCGGCGCGGAGCAGCGUGUGCAGGGAACCGCGGCGUGCGGCGCGUGGGCUCAGAGCGCUCCUAGCCGCGAGGCAGCGGCGCUGGAGGGGAGGAACGCAGCCGGCCGAGAACCUGACUAAUACGACAGCCAUGCAUGAGGUGAGACUGUGGACAUUGGGCAAGUACAGAGAAACUGCUAGAAAAUGCAGCCUGUUACAGGUUUAGGCCCAACUUGUCUAGGCCUCUGCCCCAUUUAUUGCAGAAAAUGCUGGCAUCUUUAGCUUCUGUGGAACCCAGCAUAUCACAGACAACAUCACAGAGAGAGAGACAGCGAGAGAGGGAACACGAGCAGGGGCAGAGGGAGAGGGAGAAGCAG